AUCACAAUUACCAAGAACAGAUCUAGAUCUCUCACAUUCUCUCCAUUUUCAUCCAAGAACACAAACUUUCAUUUCCAAAAUUCUUGACCAAUUCUCAACCAAACUUGAAGAUUUCUUUUGCAUUCAUCUUCUCCAAUCAUCUACAUCAACUGUUUUUGCAAAUUGGAAGGAAAAGCUUGGCCAAACGCGACUGUUGAAGAACUCACCAUCAAUGGCAAAUCGAAAAUUCGCAUGACUGGAGCAGAAUCAAGCUAAGGCAAGGCUUUCAUUCAUCUUCUAUAUCCUUCUAGUGCGACUGUUUUCAAGAAUUAGAGCUCAAAGCCGCGCGCAUUACACUGCAAUUUCCAGGUUUGAGUGAAAUUCGACUUUAACCAUUUGCUUGAUUAUGAUAUGCGUUUUAAAGUGCGUAGCAUGUAGAUCGUCAUGAUAGCUUUAGUUUUGCAAAUGCUUGCCUGUAGUGUGAGAAAUCUUGAAAUGAAAGUAUGAAUGCGAAACUUUAAACGAUCGAUCCGGUUUACACGGUUAGGUUUAGGUUGAUUAGAUUAUAUAUUCGUGAUCUAUGCAUCGAGACCUUUCCAACGGUUAUUAGUUUGUUAAUUUUGGUGAUGAAAUGAGCGAAACCGCAUUUACCGUUCCAAGCUUGUGUGCGCGCGAGGAAGAUGAAGCUGUUCUGGAUUUUUUCCGCGUUUGAUUCUGUUUUUUGGCUUGGCAAUUCAAAUUGUUGUUUCCCUCCCUGGACGACCAAUAGCGGUGUGACAACACAUUAAUGAAUUGGAAUGGCCUUGGAUUAUUACAAUAAUGCCACUAUAAUUUAAUGUAAUUCGUUUUCAUGCUAAAUAAUUAUUUAAAAAUUACUAACAUCUUAAAAAAUUCACCAAAAAUUCAUAAAAAAUCAGAAAAAUGUGAGGAUUUUUUCCUUGACUUUGUUGACUUGUGUAGAAUUUUUUUGACCUAUUGGUCAAAGUUGUGCUUGGUAAAAAUGUUGUUUGACUUAGGCUUGUCUCACAUGUACUCAUAUUUGAUACAUUUCACCAUUUGAUUCAUGAAAUGCACAAAAUGUAAAAUAAAUUCUUGAAAAUUUUUGUGGUGGUUCUUGACUCAUUGAGGAUUAUUUAUAUGUAAAUUUCAUGAAUUUUGGAUACCCGGUUAGAGAGCAGCAAAUUCUGGAACUUAGGUGUGACAAUUUGUGUCACACCUCAUUAUGUCAACUUGCAGGAUUUUUUUGAGUGACCUAUACAUGUUAGAAUUGAAUGAAAUUUUGCAUGAUGAUUGGUUGGCAUGUCGUGAUGUUGUAUGAAUUUUUGUAGAAUUUUUCACUGCAUUUUCUAUUUGAUCAUGAUUUUUCAUUUCUGGAGAUCAUUUGUGCAAGCUCAUGUGACAUAGGUUGGUAGAAUGAUUGGGAAAUGCUCACAUUGUAUUGUAUGGCCAUGAAAUUUGAUAUGCAUGAACUAGACACAUAUUAGGACCUCCUUGUUUUGGUCUCAUCCAUUUCUUUUUUGUUUUCAAUGAGAUAUGAAUUUUUGAAGUGGAUGUAUGCAUUGAUGGUAUGAAUUGAAGCAUGAAAUGGUGUCUGUUUUUGUUGAUUUUCAUUGACAUGGUUCCAUUUGCCCAAUUGAGCUCAAAUUUGACAUGGUAGACCUUGAUAGACCCCUGUUUAGGUGUAUUUAAUUUGAGAAUUUUUGGAUGUGUUUUGGUAUGGAUUUGAAUGCAAUAAUUCUGUUUGUAUGUUUGGUGCUUCAUUUGAACCAAUAUGGAUUGUUUUGUGCAUAACAUGAGCUUGGUGGAUGAUAUAAACAUGAGACCAAUGAUGUUUGCUUGUGUUUGAUGUUAAUUUGAUGUUGGUUAAUGAAUACCUUGCUGUUUUAACUUUUUUCUUGCUUUUGGACCCUAGGCUUGGCCUAGUGGUCUAGUUGCUAAUAUUUGCUUGAUUUUUCAGGAUCAAAAAAGCAAUGUACAUGGAGAAUGAUCCAAAUCCAAUUUUGAUUGAUGUUGUGGAUGUUUGUACACUAACAUAACCUUGUUUUGUAGGUGUUGGAGCUUGGGCUUAAGCCUUGGGCUUGUUUUGUGUUGUAUUGUUUAAGCUGUUUAACUGUUUGCUUUACAGUUUGUCUGAUUGAGUACUGACUGAGGUUGAUUGUUUCCAGGUACUUUAGUUGCUCAGUUCCUUGUGAACUAUUGCUUUGCUUUGCUUUGCUUAAGCAACUUGCAUAGAGGAACCAUUGCUCGCGCUCGAAGAGUAGUACCCUUGCACUCAACACGCCCUCACAGAUAUUAUACCCGGAGAAAUACGCCCAGACUCAUGGAGCUUCCCAGUGCUGAUAUGCUGGAAUUGAAAGAUAAAAUGA